UUUGGGAGAUGGGGGUGCACAGUGCUCCCGGGGGGAGUAGAGGGGGCCCCCCUGAAGUCCCCCAGACGAGGCCCGUGAACACAGGCUGCUUCUGGGUAGUCACGAGGAAAGCGACGAUUCCCAGCAGCUGCACCUGCCCAGCCCGGGCGAGGCUGCAGGACUUUCGCCGAGAAGCAGCUUCACUCAAGACCAGCCUGCUUUCCGGAAGUCUCGGGCAGAGGCCGGGGACGCGGGCCUUUCUGAAACCCAAGGUCGUACCCAGGGCAGAAACCAGAUGGCAUCUUAAUCCAAAACCCCAAGUGCCUGGUUGUCCCGGGAAGGCUCCCCGUCC
rnacentral:lncRNA from 1 species